UACGGAGGAUGCGAGCGUUAUCCGGAUUUAUUGGGUUUAAAGGGUGCGUAGGCGGGCUUUUAAGUCAGCGGUAAAAAUUCGGGGCUCAACCCCGUCCGGCCGUUGCAACUGGGGGUCUUGAGUGGGCGAGAAGAAGGCGGAAUGCGUGGUGUAGCGGUGAAAUGCAUAGAUAUCACGCAGAACCCCGAUUGCGAAGGCAGCCUUCCGGCGCCCUACUGACGCUGAGGCACGAAAGUGCGGGGAUCGAACAGG
rnacentral:rRNA from 1 species